ensembl:processed_transcript
GCGACAUUUAACGUAUAUAUCUAUGGACGCUAACUAGUAUUCACGUAUCAUGCUCAACUCUUAAUAUUCUUUUACGCACUUUGAGAGUGUUUGCGUUAUUUCAGAGAGAUAUUUAAGCACAUAUGAAGUAACAGUGCCGUCUGUGUACUAUAGCUACACAAUGCAGCAUUUAGCUCGCUCGUAAACAUCGCUGCUGUCCUCAGAUCAUUGUCUGAGCAGAAGUUUCAUCAUAAGCCAUGACUGUCAGAUGCUCUUCAUCUCAGGAGCUGUAUUUUUAUAUGCUUGAUAACAGAUAUAAGCGAGAAGAGGCUGAAUCCAAAGCCCGAGAAGAAGCAGAGAAACAGCGGAUCGAACGAGAGAAACACUUCCAGAAGGAGGAGCUGGAACGCUUGGAAAGAAAGAAGGUAAAAUAAAAGUCCACCAAUCAAGCUAAACACAGCAUCACGCUCUCUCAUUCACACACACACAUAGGCGUGCUCGCUCGCUCGCUCGGGAGUGAUAUUGUUAGACCGCCGGCUCCCGUUCAGAUUACACCAGUUACCGACCGCUCCCAUGCUUUAUCCGGAAAUUAAUCCCACGUUGCAAUAAAUCUGGUCGGGUCCCGCAGACCUCUAAUCUGGCAUUACGGUGGCUCAGUGGUUAGCACUGUCGCCUCAAAGAAAGAAGGUCACUGGUUCGAGUCCCGGCUGAGUCAUUUGGCAUUUCUGUGUGGAGUUUGCAUGUUUUUAGUGUGUGUGAAUGAGUGUCUAUGGAUGUUUCCCAGUACUGCUUUGCAGCUGGAAGGGCAUCCGCUGUGUAAAACAUAUGCUGAAUAAGUUGGCGGUUCAUUCUGUUGUGGUGACCCCUGAUAAAUAAAGGGGCUAAACUGAAGGAAAAUGAAUGAAUUAAUUUUUAAAAAUUGUUAAAUAUAGCACUUGGGAAAUAUUUUUAAACGAUU